UACGAAGGGUGCAAGCGUUACUCGGAAUUACUGGGCGUAAAGCGUGCGUAGGUGGUGAGUUAAGUCUGAUGUGAAAUCCCCGGGCUCAACCUGGGAAUGGCAUUGGAUACUGGCUCGCUAGAGUGCGGUAGAGGGUGGUGGAAUUCCCGGUGUAGCAGUGAAAUGCGUAGAUAUCGGGAGGAACACCUGUGGCGAAAGCGGCUCACUGGACCACAACUGACGCUGAGGCGCGAAAGCUAGGGGAGCAAACAGG
rnacentral:rRNA from 1 species